UUCCUGCCCCCGCGGCCACCUCCCGCGCCUGCUGCACGGCACUCCCGUCCCCGAUCACUCUGGCUGCAGCAGCAGCGGGCGACACGGCUACCCCCCCAGCACCAGCUCCGCGGAGCUUGUAGUAGGAUAGCACCCCAUCCUCGAGCACGAACCACCGCGACCGCCACCCCUUCCCAUAGUUGACCCACUUGUGCAGCACCCCCACAACCGCAUCCUGCUUUGGGGCCGGCGUCGCCGGCGGUGCACCAGCGAGGAUGCGCUGCGGGUGCUCGUGGAGCUGAUCCGCAGCGUGCUCGAGCGAGACCGGCGCGAUGCAGCAUAACGGGUUCAUCGCGACGCAGCCACCAGCCCGCACGAUGUGGAUCGGGGGAGCCCGCUCCCCACUCAGGAGGCAGAUGCCGCCUUGUGGCCUCGCUCGCGCCCGCCGCCUAGGUUUCGCACAACCAUGGAGAUCGGCGCCGCAUCGGCUGCGCGCAGGACAUAGCAGCAGCAGCGAAGUGGCUGUCGGAGUACUGGGCGGCGCAGUACCGUGGAGUACUGGCGUUGGCGGUGUGUUUUGAUGGCGACAAGGUGGAUUUUAGGUUACCAUGAACAUGAAGCUCUCCUCUAAGAAAAUGAAGAAGAUGCUGGAUUUCAAAGUGCAAUGCCGUAAAAUAGGUGCCCAGUUGGCACACUUGGCACAAUUGACAUAGUCCAUAGUUGGCAAAGUGAAAUACCGCUCAAUGGUUUUGCAUUAAAGAAUCCAUUACCCACUACCAUGUAUAAUUUUUCCAAUGUUGUAAGUGGAUCACCCUACAUCAUACAUAGGGAAUGAACAUACAACAUUAUCUAAUGCUACAAGUUUCAUUAGUGCG